GCUGCCGUUAAAAUCUAAAGAAGAAGAAGACGUCACUCCUACAUCCGGAUGCUCUGCCGCCAUGUUGACCCUACGGCUGCUUUCCACUUCAUUGAUCGGACGGAAGAAAACCGCGAUGCUUGGAUACUGUUGGACUCAAGGAAGUAAACACAAAGGCGACAAAACAGUAAAGAGAAGUUGUCAUUAACUUCUGUGAAGGUGAGCAAACUUUGCUACGAAGCAUCGACGAGUGUGGCUAGCUAAUCAACAACGGAGUUCUCAUCACUUCAUUAGCGAUCCCAGUUUGCUCGAAUGGCAGCUUUCCGUGGAGCUGAGUGGCUCCACAGGGUGACAUUGGCUCGGCACGCUGUUGUUCUUGGGCGUCGCUAAACGGAGGCUUAGCCACUGUCCAAAUACUCCAUUUCUGCAGCUGUUUCCUAGACAACUGACAUUUAAAGGGGCAGCUCUGGUUGUUGACUGCCUGACCUUGACCAGUACCAUGUUUGCUCUUAAAAAACUGUUUGCAUUA